rnacentral:rRNA from 1 species
GGUGAACGCUGGCGGCGUGCCUAAUACAUGCAAGUCGAGCGAACAGACGAGGAGCUUGCUCCUCUGACGUUAGCGGCGGACGGGUGAGUAACACGUGGAUAACCUACCUAUAAGACUGGGAUAACUUCGGGAAACCGGAGCUAAUACCGGAUAAUAUAUUGAACCGCAUGGUUCAAUAGUGAAAGACGGUUUUGCUGUCACUUAUAGAUGGAUCCGUGCCGCAUUAGCUAGUUGGUAAGGUAACGGCUUACCAAGGCAACGAUGCGUAGCCGACCUGAGAGGGUGAUCGGCCACACUGGAACUGAGACACGGUCCAGACUCCUACGGGAGGCAGCAGUAGGGAAUCUUCCGCAGUGGGCGAAAGCCUGACGGAGCAACGCCGCGGGAGUGAUGAAGGUCUUCGGAUCGUAAAACUCUGUUAUUAGGGAAGAACAAAUGUGUAAGUAACUAUGCACGUCUUGACGGUACCUAAUCAGAAAGCCACGGCUAACAACGU